AUUUAUGUAUCAAGGGCAUUGUAAGGACGAUAAUGCCCGGAAGGUGGAAAUAGUAGGUAUAUAGUAGGUUUCCGCCUGAUGGGCAUUAGAAUCUAACAAUGCCUGUGGUGCAUACAAUGCUUUAUGUUUUACCUAAAAAUUGAUUUUUAUGAACAAAAAUAAUUUUAAUAUUAAUUAAAAAAUAGGGUCUACCUGUACAGGUAGGUACAGAUACGUACAUACCUACCUACAGAAAUUUAUCAAGUGACUUGCAGUGAUUAUUUAAGUUUUACUUUGAUGUUUCUGUCAGUUAGUCAGUUGGCAUUUUUUUGUUUAAAUAUUUGCUUAAAAUGGAAGAAAUUCCACAAAAUAUAAGAGAAAAGGCCAUAAAAGCGACCGAAAAUCUUUUGCCAGUUAAAUCAAGGCAACAGUAUGAUCGGGAGUAUGGCAUAUUUGGUAUUUGGAAAGAUGCCAACGCAAUUGUUAAUAACCGAAACCGUUCUAAUGGCAUAUUUUCAGGAACUGUCGGAAAAAUACAGUCCGAACUCUCUCUGGACUAAGUAUUCUGCCCUAAGGUCUACGUUAAUGGUCUAUAAAAAUAUAGACAUCUCGUAAUACCAUCGUCUCAUAUCUUUUUUAAAAGUUAAGUCGAAAGGAUAUGUCCCGAAGAAGUCUAAAGUUUUGGAAGGAGAACAAAUAAUAAAAUUUAUUAAGAAGGCUCCUGAUGAUAUCUACUUGGUACACAAAGUCAUAUUGGUAAUGGGUGUUUUUGGAGGUUUAAGACGAGAUGAGUUGGUCAAAAUGACCAUUGAUGAUAUUGAAGAUAGAGGAACGGUCUUGGUUAUAAAGGUACCAGAAACUAAAACUUCAACUUCAAAAAGUUUUACUAUCAUUGAAGAAGAUUUAAGCGCUUUAAAUUUAAUAAAAAGGUACGCAGCAUUAAGACCAGCUAGAAUAAAGGAGCGAAGAUUCUUUCUUACCUAUAGAAAGAGUCGCUGUACAGUACAACCUGUUGGAAAAAAUACUAUAGGAAGCGUCCCAACAUCGAUCGCAAAAUUUUUAAAACUGGAUAAUGCAGAAGCUUAUACCGGCCACUGUUUGCGUCGCACAUCGUCAACUUUACUUGUUGAGGCAGGUGCUUCGUUUGAAAUGCUAAAACAAGAUGGGAAAUGGAAAAGCUCUUCAGUAGCUGAAGGAUAUAAAGAAGAAAGUAUUUCAUCCAAAAAUAAAGUAGCCAAAAUGAUUGCCAAUUCAGGUAAUUCCGAGGUUAAUUCCGUAUCGACUAUUGAAAAUUUUUUAAUGGACAAUUUACAAACUAUACAAAAUAGCGUUAGUGCUGCCACCUCUACCAUCACAAAAAACACCGACAAUUCUAUAGUGGGAUCAGCUACAUUUUCCGGGACAUUUCAAAAUUGUAAUUUUGUAUUUUGGAAAUAAAGUUUAAUUUUUAGUA
rnacentral:lncRNA from 1 species